rnacentral:rRNA from 1 species
UGCAUAUCAAAAAAGCGGAGGAAAAGAAACUAACAAGGAUUCCCCUAGUAACUGCGAGUGAAGCGGGAAAAGCUCAAAUUUAAAAUCUGGUGGUCUUUGGCCAUCCGAGUUGUAAUCUAGAGAAGUGUUAUCCGCGCUGGACCGUGUACAAGUCCCCUGGAAUGGGGCGUCAUAGAGGGUGAGAAUCCCGUCUUUGACACGGACUACCAGGGCUUUGUGAUGCACUCUCAAAGAGUCGAGUUGUUUGGGAAUGCAGCUCAAAAUGGGUGGUAAAUUCCAUCUAAAGCUAAAUAUUGGCGAGAGACCGAUAGCGAACAAGUACCGUGAGGGAAAGAUGAAAAGAACUUUGGAAAGAGAGUUAAACAGUACGUGAAAUUGUUGAAAGGGAAACGCUUGAAGUCAGUCGCGUCUGCCAGGGAUCAACCUUACUUUUGUGAGGCGUACUUCCUGGUUGAUGGGUCAGCAUCAGUUUUGGUCGCUGGAYAAAGGUCAGAGAAAUGUGGCACCUUCGGGUGUGUUAUAGUCUUUGAUCAGAUACAGUGGCUGGGACUGAGGAACUCAGCGCCGCAAGGCUGUCUUAGGAUGCUGGCAAAAUGGCUUUAAUCGACCCGUCUUGAAACACGGACCAAAGGAGUC